AUAAUCGAUUAUCUUCUCACGAUAAUCGAUUAACUCAGUAGAAAAAUGAUUUCAAGACGUUUUUCAUUGUUUAUUUAAAUACCAAAAAUAUAAUAUAUAUGUCUUAAAUAUUAAAGACACUUUUAUAAACCUUUUUGGUUCAAUUUAGAACAUGAAAAUCAAUUUAUUCCAAGAGUAUAAAAAUUAUUUAUGAUAUGCAUAUGUUU
rnacentral:lncRNA from 1 species